UACGGAGGGUGCAAGCGUUAAUCGGAAUUACUGGGCGUAAAGCGCACGUAGGUGGUUUGGUAAGCAGGAUGUGAAAUCCCCGGGCUUAACCUGGGAACUGCAUCCUGAACUGCCUGACUUGAGUACAGUAGAGGGUAGUGGAAUUCCUGGUGUAGCAGUGAAAUGCGUAGAUAUCAGGAGGAACACCGGUGGCGAAGGCGGCUACCUGACUGAUACUGACACUGAGGUGCGAAAGCGUGGGGAGCAAACAGG
rnacentral:misc_RNA from 1 species